rnacentral:rRNA from 1 species
GUGGGGAAUUUUUCGCAAUGGGGGAAACCCUGACGAAGCAACGCCGCGUGGAGGAUGAAGGCCUUCGGGUCGUAAACUCCUGUCGACCGGGACGAAAGUAGUCCGACCCAAUACGUCGGGCUAUCGACUGUACCGGUGGAGGAAGCCACGGCUAACUCUGUGCCAGCAGCCGCGGUAAUACAGAGGUGGCAAGCGUUGUUCGGAAUUACUGGGCGUAAAGGGCGCGUAGGCGGUCGGGCAAGUCCUGUGUGAAAUCCCUCGGCUCAACUGAGGAACUGCACGGGAAACUGCCUGACUUGAGUUCGGGAGAGGGAAGCGGAAUUCCGGGUGUAGCGGUGAAAUGCGUAGAUAUCCGGAGGAACACCGGUGGCGAAGGCGGCUUCCUGGACCGACACUGACGCUGAGGCGCGAAAGCUAGGGGAGCAAACGGGAUUAGAUACCCGGGUAGUCC